rnacentral:lncRNA from 1 species
UUAUUCACAGUUAGUAUCUAUAGAUUUUGUAGUUAUCAGUAAACCCUAAACCUAAACCUUAAACACUAUGUGCGGGCAAUUUUAUUGCAUUGGUUCCAUGUCUUAUCAGGCUUGUGGCUUUGCCGACAACUUAAUUUGUAUACAAAAGUACUCAUAUUCUUAUGAGGUGCAUCAACUUUUUUAUGUUAAAGGUAAUAAAUAUAAAAGUGAAGAAUGAAUAUUGUAUAUAUUAUUCCUAGUAAACAAGCGUUUAAAUACAAAGAGAAUAAACUGAAUUCCUUAGCAGUAGGAAUCAGUAACAAACUAAUCCUAUCAUAACAAUCUCAACAUAAUCAAAAUAAUACAAAGUCAAAGAUAUGGGAAGAGGUACAGAUAUACUGCUAAUAUGCCCCCCUCAAGUUAAACAGAGAGGACCAAUGUUUAACUUGUUCAGAUGACGACAAAACGCAGCAGAUGACAAGGGCUUAGUCAAAGUAUCGGCUAAUUGAUCUGCAGAAUGGACAUGUGAAACAGUAAGCAGUUCCCGAUGAACUUGAUCACGAACAUAAUGAAAAUCCACUGCUAAAUCCUUCAUACGACUGUGAAACAUAGGAUUCUCACAUAAAUAAGUGACUCCUAUGUUAUCACAAUAAAUAACAGGUGCCGUAGAAAGUCUGAUAACCAUUUCAAACAGGAGAUUACGAACCCAAGUUAUUUCAGAUACAGCACUCGCAACAGCACGAUACUCAGCCUCCGUGGAGGACCUCACAAUUGUUGUUUGCUUUUUAGAAGACCAACUGAUCGGAUUAUUGCCAAAGAAUUGAAUGUAGCCAGUGGUUGAGACACGAUCAUUAAUAUCGCCGGCCCAAUCUGCGUCAGAAUACAUGUGAAGUGACAGAGAUUUGCUUUUCUUCAGACAAAGGCCAUAGCGAAGAGUACCAUUAAGAUAUCUUAGAACCCGUUUGACAGCUUUCCAAUGAAUAGUAGAUGGAGCAUGCAUAAACUGGGAAAGCUUGUUCACUGCAAAGCAAAUAUCGAGACGGGUAAAACUAAGAUAUUGAAGUUUACCAACAACUUGUCGAUAUUUAGUGGCAUCAACAGGCAAGGAACCAUCAGAAACUGAAAGAACUGCAGAGGAGCUCAUAGGAGUAGCAGCUGGUUUGGAUUCCUGCAUGUUGGUUGUGUGAAGUAGAUUAGCAAUAUAAGUUGCUUGAGACAAGUAGAGACAAUCUUUCUGCCGCAACACUUCCACACCAAGGAAAUACUGCAAAUUACCCAGAUCUUUAAUAGAAAAAUGACUCUUUUGAGUUAUGAAAGCUCUGAUACCAUAAUAAAUAUAAAAGUGAAGAAUGAAUAUUGUAUAUAUUAUUCCCAGUAAACAAGUGUUCAAAUACAAAGAGAAUAAACUGAAUUCCUGAGCAAUAGGAAUCAGUAACAAACAAAUCCUAUCAUAACAACUCAAUCUCAACAUAAUCAAAAACAAAUAAUACAAAGUCAAAGAUAUUGGAAGAGGUACAGAUAUACUGCUAAUAAAAGGUGGAUAAUUGUACCAAGAAUCGAUUAAUUAUUACUCCUUUCGUUGUUUUUUCUGAGAAAAUUUUCUUUUUCGGUGUAUUUUUUAUAUAGGAAAAGUUAUUAUAAAUAGUAAUUUUGGAAUCUAAGUCAAGUUAAAAAGAUUAUAAAGCCCUCAAAGUACAUGUGUAUUUUUUAAGAAUAAAGCUCAACUAUUAAGGAAAGUGGCAGACAUGAAUAUUCUCACCAUUUAAUACACGCAUGUUUCAAGUGACAAGUUAUCAACUCAUUUUUUUUUAUUUUGUUUUAUAGUAACAACUGUCGUUUUUAUAAAUUUGGCCAUAUAAAUACAGAGUUAACCCUUAUUUGUAUGUCUUUGAGUGGGGAAGAUGAAAAUCGUACACUAAAUGAGCUAGUUACUCUUCCAAGAAGAGCUGGAAGAGUGUCUUUAAUUGCAGACAAUAAUGUUGAGAUUCUGAAAAAAAUUGAAUCCAAUUACUACUCUUUUGGCCACAUUGGUGGAAAAUAUAGAUCUAAAUAUUGAGCAAACACAGAAAAAUAGUGCCCAAAUUGAAUAUUUUAGUUAGUAAUAAAAAUUUAAAAAUAUAAAAUCUAAGACAAAACAAUUAAAAAUGUUUUUAAUUUUUAAAUUCAAAGUUAAAUUAACUAUUGAUUUAUUAUGUAUACAAUCAAUUGAAUAAAAAUAUAAUAUCUAAGUAUUAUAAUAAAUAAAUAAUACUAAAUGACAUUAGAUUUAUACGGAUAGAGAAAAUAAUAAUAAAUAUAAAAAUAAUACUAAAUAGAGAAGAGAUGAAAAAAAAACGUAGAAUUUUAAUAGAGAUAAUAAAACUAAUGCUUAUAUAUUUUGGAUAAAUAAAUGACAUUAGAUUUAUAUGAAUGGAGAAAAUAAUAAUAAUAAUAAUAAUAUAACUUUAUGAGGAUAAAUCUUAUAAAAAAUAAAAAAAUAGGAGGAAUGUAGAAUAAAAGCACGCACAAAUACAAAAAUCAUCAUACGUGGUUUUAUAAAAAUUUGUUUUUUAUUUUAAAAAACAGUUUCUUAAAAAGUAAAGAAACAAGUUUUGUUUAUUUUUUAAACAAAUAAGUUUUCAUUAAAAGGGCUAUAGGAAAUUUCAUUAUUUCCCGCUAUUCCCAUGUUUAUAUAAUAUAGAUUUUCAAGAUUUUUGUAAAAAGUGGCUUUUUGAAAAGAGAUUAAUUAGAAAGUAAUAGUUCACACGACCAAUAUUUUGUAAUAUUUUCAAAUAUUUUAUAAAAAAUGUAUGUCUUUUAUAAAAGGAUUGUUUGCCAAAUAAUUGGUAUGAUAAUUAAUAUUUUGUAAAGUUUUCUAACUUUUGGUAAAAAAUAGCUUUUUUUUUUUAAAAAAAAAAAUUCAAGUAAGAUUAAGAAAAAUGUUACUUGAAUCUAGUUCAAGUCAUGAUAACAAGCACGAUGAUAAAAGAUUGUCCUCCACCAAUCAUUUGGAUAGAGCACCAUAAUAAUUAUUCAAUAGGGCUUUGGAAAGGAUUCCAUUGGCUACGGUUCAAUAAUUGUUUUUCUCGUGGGUCCAAUGUGUAAAUUAUUUAUAAAAAUUUUUACUUCAACUUAUUAAACACUUCAAUUUAUAAAAAUUAUAUUAAUUAAAUACUUCAACUUGUAAAAAUUAUUCUAUUGAAAACUCUAAUUUAUAAAAUUAGAUUAAUUAAAUUCUUAUUGAAUAAUUAAAAGAUGUUAAAAUUAUUAUUGCAAAAAUUAUAUUAACCACAUCAAGUAAAUAUUUACUUGUAAAUACAAAAAACACACACACAAAGAAAAAAAAAACUAUCACUACUAAUAUUAAGAGGGGUAGAAUGUUAUUAAAAAAUUAUAACAUUUAUAUGAAGGGUCACUGUUUCUUUUGAGAAAAGAUGGCGGUUGAAGAAAGUGGUGGUGAUAGUGUUGGGUGAUAGUUUGGAUUGGGUUCCAUAAUUAUUUUCUCCAGCACAAUGCAUAAAUUUAUCUCUGUAUUUUUAAGUAAAUAAUAUUGUAGCACUUUUAAUUUUUAUUUUGACAUAUUAAAUACAUCAAUUCAUAAAAUUGUACUAAUAAACUACUUCAGUUUGUGAAAAUUAUUCUAUUGCAAAAUCGAAUUUGUAAAGUUGAAUUUAUUAAACAUUUACUGGAUAGUUAAAACACGUGAAAAUUAUUAUUUCAAAGAUUGUGUUAACCACACAUCAAGUAAAAAUUUUACACAUAAAUACCAAAAACAUCCAAAAAUUAAUAUUACUAGUAUGGAAGGGAAUAAGAUAUUAUCAAAAUUGGUAAAUGAAAAUGAUUUAUAUAUAUGGCUUCUUGUAAAUGAAAAUGAUUUAUUUUCUUAAAAAAAUAGUAUAAAUUUAAAUAUUUUGAACUAAUGUUUGAUGACUUUAAGUGAUUAUUUAGCCUAUUACUUAAUUUGUAUACAAAAGUAAAAUGCAUAUGUGCUCAUAUUCUUAUGAGAUGCAUCAAUUUUUUAAUUAUUAUUUAAGAUGAAUUAGUCCACUAAAACAAUCUCUAACUGUAAUUUUGAAAAUUUAUUUUUCACUGUCAAAGGAGACUUUAAUUACGUUUAUUUGCACUAAUUAUAAUUAUUAGAUGUACAUUGUCAAUAAUUAUAUAAGUACCUGUCUAUAGAAAUGCACUAAUUAUAAUUAUUAGAUGUACAUAGUCAAUAAUUAUAUAAAUAUCUGUCUAUAGAAAUUAAGGGUAAAUAAAGAAAAAUGGAAUCAAAAUGUAACUUAUGGAUGAGAUUUGCCUACUUGGUGUAUAGUACAACCUAUAUAUCAAAUUUUAAAAAAAAUUUUAAUUAUUAUUAUUUUAUCUUUUUUCUCGUGAAUGAUUAAAAAUACCUAUAUUAAAAAAAUUAUUUUCGAUUUAUUUAGAGCCUAUUUGGACAAAUGAAUUCCAUAAAAUUUUGUGAAAUUCGUUUAGAAAUCCAAAAUAUUGUGUUAGGAAUGAAAAAAAAAUACAAAUUUGGAUUCUACGAAUUGAAUUCUAUGGAAUUGGGUAUGCCUAACUCAAAUUCUACUAAAAUUGAUAGAAUUUGUACAUAAAUUCCAAAAAAUUUAACCACUAAAAUUUUAUUGACAAAAUUACCCUCAACUAUAAACUCAGCUAUUUUUACUUUUUUUUUUCUUUAUUUUAAAUUAUAGCAUACCAAAUAUGACAAAUUCAUUUGCAAAUGAAUUCUACUUAUAAAUGAAUUCUACUUGGAUUCAUUUGUUCUAAACGGACCGUUAAUGUAUAAGUGGAGUUUACAAAACAUGUGUAGAUAAGUUCUCACAUAUUAUUACAAAUGUGUCCCGCCCAUAAGUGAACCACUGUAAAUUUAAAAUGUGUCCCCAAUAAUUUGAAAUGGGUCCCACUUAAGCAAGUGGGUGCAUGUCUAUAAAAACCCACUUAAGCAACACUUGAAGCACCACACUACUCUUUACAUUCUUUCGUCUUCAUAUUUCAAAAGCUCUCUAAUAUUAAGCGAUGGCUGUGUCUCCAAUCCAGUCGGUGCUUGGGAUGUUGGGUGUUAUGUCCACGGCACAGCGUCAAACUGGGUUGAAUAUCAGCUCAUUUUACCCACCUGUUGCACAACUUCUUGGCACCGUAUUGUUGGGUUAAGUCCUUUACCGCUUCUGGAUGAAGACUGAAGCUUGUGUUUGUGUUAUCCUUUUAAGUAAUGUUAAUAAGCAUGGCUUUGACUGAUCCACCAUCUCCACUGGAGUGUGUGUGUGAAUCUCAAUGCUAUGAGCAAAUAAAUUCUGUCUUUAUGUACUUCUAUUUUAUGUGUUUUUAAUAAAUCAGUCUUUCCAGUGCGGUCAAACAGUUAUCAAAUAUCUUUGCUUAAAAAUAUUUGAACAAAUAAUUUGUUUCCUCAACAAAAUAUUUGAAAUAUAUAUUAAUAUAUGUUUUAAUUCAAGACUUAAAAAUAUGUUGCCUAAAUACUUUAUAUUUGAAACAAUCGAAUUAAUCUUUAACAAGACACGAAACAUAAACUCCAAAAAAGAAGAGAAAGUGUAUGUAAUGAAUGAUGUUGCAGACUGAAUAGCAUUUCCUGUUUCCAAUGUGACUGGGUAGUCACAACAUGAUAAAAGGUUUUUUAGAUCAGUUGUGGUUUUAGGUUAGUUGAAUUUAUAAAAUAAUUGAUGCAUUUAUCUAUAAUUUGUAAUGUUUUUUAACAAUUAUGUAAAACAUGGUUCUUUCUUAUGAAAUUGCCAAAUUACUAAAUAAUAGUUUCAGUACCAACAUUUUAUAACAAGUCCUAAACAUUAUAAAAGUGGUUAUUUUUUAAAAAAAAAGUUAGCUAUGGACUUUGGUUGUUAACAUUUUCCAAUGUUUUCUAUUUUUUAAAAAAUUAUUAGAUUAGAGAAUAAUAGCUCCAAUUGCCUAUAUUUUUGUUAAAAGUAGUUAUUUUUUGUAAAAGGAUUAUCCACAUAUUAAGAGUUCAUAUUAUCAAUAUUUUUGUAAUAUUAUCAAAGAUCUUGUAAAAAAUGCUUUUUUUAAAGAGUUGUUUUAGAAUAAUAGUUCUGAUUACUAAUAUUUUGUAAAAUUUUCUAAUCUUUUUGUAAAAUAUAUAUAUAUAUAUUUUUGUAAAUUUAGGUAAAAGUAAGUAAAUUGUUAAAUUUAUCCCGACUCAUGCGUUGAUAAAAGGUUGUCCUCCAUCCAUAUUUUGGAUGGGGUUUUAGAUAGGGUUCCAUGAUUUAGAUAAGGUUCCAUAAUUUUUUUUUUUUUUUGCAAUACAAUGUAUAAAUUUAUCUCCGUAUUUAUAUGUAAAAAAUAUGGUAACACUUUUAACUUUUACUAGUAUUAGAACUCACGUAAUGUGGGAGCAAUAUUAGAUGAAAAAAUAAUUUUUUAUAAAAUCAUUCAAAAAUAACAAAAUUGUAUAAUAAAAUAAUCGUGAAAUGUAUUAUAAAAUUGUAUCUCAUUGAGAUAUGUUAAAAGAAGUUAAAAUGCUAAGAUGUGUCUUCUUAAGUAUCCUGCGAAGCUUUUUACUAAAGUACGCAAUAAGAAAAACCAUGCAUGGUAUGAUUUAGGGGUGUCAAAAUGGGUUGGCGUGUCAAGUUUCGACACGGAUUCGCCUAACACGCAACAUAAUUACGGUCAACAUGAAUACUAUCAAUUUAAUAAUUGUUUUAAAUUUAUCAACAUGAACACGAUACGAAAAUUAGACAAGUGAUAGGAACACGAUAAAUUUAAUCAACUAAUAUCAUAAACAAGUUAAGUAGAUCGUGUUGACCCAUAUACAACCCUUGUAAUCCGCUUAAUAUCAUAAACAUGUUAAGUGAGUCGUGUUGAUCCGUGUGCAAUCCACUUAACCUGUUUAUAAUAUUUUUAAAUUUUAACCUAUUUAACUCCAAUUAUAUUUAAAAAUAAAUUUUCAUACAUAAAAUGCAUAAAUUCUUCAAGAUUCAUAAUUAAAAUAAAAAAGUAACAGAACAAUUAAAUUUAAAUAGGUUUUAAUUGGAGUAUUUAUACUUAACACCAAAAUUACCUCUUUACUCUUAAACAAACAGGUAACUUGCUUAACCCGCGUCUUAACCUGUGAUACGACACGUUUGUAUUCGCCUCAUAAAUGAGUAACUCGUUUAUGACAAGAAUCCGUUUAACAUCAACCCGAAUCCAUCUAUUUCGUGUGUUAGGCAACUCGUGUUCGCGUGUCAUGAACCAUUUUGACACCCCUAGUAUGACUUGUAUCAAAAAAUGCACACACACUAUUAAUGUAAUUUCCAAUAGUGAUAAUAAUUUUGAGAAUUAAACUGAUUAUAUUGAAAUAAGAAAUUAAGUAUUUUUUUUAUUUUAUGUUUAUGAUUUAUUAUAAAUGAUUGUGUAUUUAUUUGAAAUAUUAAUAUAUUAUAUUUAUUUAGUGUAGUGUGUGUCCUAAGCGUGUGGAUGUCCUACUUUUUAAAAAAUUGUCAUAUAGCGUAUAUUCUCAUAUCUCGUGUCCUGUGUCAGUGCAACUUAGCUCUUGGUUUAUGAGACUACUCCAUAUACCAAGCUAAUCAACCAAGGUUUUUUUUAUUACCAAGAAAAAAUGAAUGUGUUUUUUUAAAUUUGUUUUUGUGUCUUUUUUUUUAUUAAUGAAUGAUCAUAAAAAAUAAGAAUGAACUAAAUUCUUUUUUGGAAAAAACUUAUGUUACUUUUUUUUUUGGGUUUUAAAAGUAAAAUAAAAUUAAUUUUUCUCUACAAAUUUAUUUUUAUAGUUUUUUUAUUUUCUUUCCAAUUUGAAGAUAAAAUUAUCAGAAUUCUUUUCCAAUUUAUAGUUUUUACUUUUUAAUAUUAGUUUUCUUUUCUUUUCUUUUCUUUUUCCCUCUUACAUUACAUUAUCUGAAAAUAUAAAACAAUUUAUCUUUAUACAAUUGCUGUCAUUACAACUUAUCUUCUUACAACUAUGCUAAAUAAUUGUGUUCCUUACACUUGUCAAUUUGAGAGACUUACACUUGGCUAUCAUUUAAGAUAGACUUAUCUACUUUUAUAUAUUACUAGUGUAAGAAGCAACACGAUGCGCGGAGCAAUAUUAAAAGUGAAAUAAUAUUUUAUAGCAUCAUUCAAAAUAGUAAAAUUAUAUAAUAAAAUAAUAAAUUGUAUCUCGUGUCUCGUGUUCAUGCAACCUAACUUCUGAUAUUUGAAACUACUCCAUACACCAUGCUAAUCAACCAAGUUUUUUGUUAUUACCAAUAAAAAUGAAGUUUUUUUUUAAUUUGUUUUUGUGUUAUUGAAAUAAGAAAUUAAGUAUUUUUUUCAUUUUAUGUUUAUAAUUUAUUAUAAAUGAUUGUUUAUUUAUUUGAAAUAUUAAUGUAUUACUUAUUUAGAGUAGUAUGUUGUCACGACCCAUUUCCGUGGGCCGGACCGGCACUAGGACUUAGGUGGGCUUAAGGCCCCCGAAGCCCGUAGUAAGCCUGUAUUACUUAAGACUCGCAUGCUAUUCACAAUUGUGGAUUCAGGCCCAAUAAUUUAUUUCACAAGUAUUUCCAAAGUACAAUCUAAAUAAUACAUGUCUAUUCUCUAUUUAUUCAUUUACACCCCAGUUGGAAUACAAUUGCGAAACUCUCCUCCAUAAUUCCCUAUCCUAUGCAUUUACAUAUUCGAUCCAAUGAUUAUUACUCCUAUCGAUCCGUAUCUCGUUCGUACGAUUGGACUCCAAGCUUCUUCUUUCCAUCUAUUACCUGGGGAGGUUGGAGGGGGGGUGAGUACUAGACUCAGUGCGUAGGGUUAGAUAACCCUCUCAUCCCACACAAUCACACAGAUGCUAAAAAUAUUUUUAUCUGGUCACCGAUAAAUUUUUUGAUUAUGCAGUUUGUCACACAAAUGGCAAUACAGUAGCAAUCACAAGUAUUAUCACCUUCAUGUAAUCAUAUCACGUGGAAAUUAGUCAGUGGAGUCACUGAAACCCGAUGAGCCGUCCUCCUACAUGGCCUCACAUGUGCACCAAGGAGCCAAUCCCCCAUUCUGGCUGGCCGGUAUAAUCCUCACACGACCGGUCCUCUCAUUAUUUUGCCAUUCAAAUAAAAUUGUUUAAAUUUGCUUCUGUUAAGUCCGUGUUGACGGCACCUUUCUCUUCUCCCUCCACACUCUGACUUAAUUCUGGGGAUCCCAGAUUAAGGUUGCAGGAACCUUAAACCUAUACUUGUGUUUUGUUAUAUGAUAUUUUGUUUUGUUGUUUGUGAUCCUGUUGUUUGAUUUUGUUGGUAUCAGAGCCAUCCCUUUUAACCUUCUAGCAAUUCUCAAAUAUAAAGCAUCCAUUUGAAAAUAUCAUAAAUAGUUUUGGGUAUGCCAACUGAACCCGUGAAUAGCGAUAUGUUGGGCGUAGAAAGGGUAUAACAGGCAGUGACCGCAACUUGUUUGAUAUUAUACAAUGGAUCCUUUAUUGUGUAGGUCAGCUAGUAGUGUUAAAUCGGAUGAUUCUGAAUCUUCAGAAAUAAAGAGAGUAAUUAAUAGAAAUGAAUUAAUUUUACAAGAUUUUAGUAAAGCAAUUGAUGAAUGGGAAAUACCUAAAGUUGAUAAAGAACAAAUAUAUAAAGUUUCUAAAUUUAAUUUAUGGAAAACUGACUAUGUAAUAAAAACAGAAGAAAGAGAUUUUCAAUUAAGUAAACCUUUUGAAAGAAUAACUCUUUUAUCUUCUAAAACUUUGCAACAUCAUAAAAAAAAAUAUAAGUAUAUUCAUAUAGGAUUAAUCCAAGUAGGUAUAAAACCUUUAACUCGAGAGGGAUUAAAUACUAGUAUAUUAGCAGUAGUAAGAGAUGCUAGAUUUUUAAAUUUUCAAGAUUCUUUGCUAGGAUCAGUUGAGACCAGUUUAAGUGAAGGACCCAUAUCCUUUGAAGUAUACCCAGAUAUGACUAUCUCAUUAAAUGAUGUAAACAUUUUAGAAAAUAUGGUUUUGGAAAUUAAAACUCAUAAUUAUAAAAUGAAACAAGGAUCAAUUCCUAUAGCAUUGAUAUAUAAAAUUCAUUAUAAAGCAAUGAAUUCGGCUUUUGGUACUAAAUAUAAAUUACAACCUAAAAUAGGAGAGACAAGAUUCUUACAGACAGAUUUAACUAAAACUAAUACUGUAAUUCCUAAAACCAUUCAAUGGAAAGACAUCACAUUACCAGAAGAAUGGAUCUUAGAAGGAAUAGUACCCCCUCCAAUUCCAGAAAAGGUAAAACCGAAUAUAAAUUUACAAAAAAUUGAGCAAUAUGAAGAUGGUAAGGUAACACUAAAAUUUAAUAGAAGUCAAAGUUCCAGAUAUACAGGGUCAUCAUCUUCUGUAGUUACAGAUGACAAUGAAAAACCCUCUUCUUCUCAUAUACCCUCUGUCAUUUAUGCAAAAUAUAAGGAUACUGAACCUAAACCCAUUAUUCAAACAUUAGUAAAACCCAGAUAUUCUACUUCAGAUAUCCCAGAUUUAAGUCAGUCUCUUAAAAUGAAAGGUGUUGAUUAUAGCUCUUCAAUUCCGCAAGCAGUCUAUAAUCCAAUAGAAAACUAUGUAAAUCAGCAGUCGCAUUUAGCUAAUUCAUCACCUGAAUCACCCACAGUUUCAACCAUAACUGAAAAUAUACAAGAAAUAAAUAGGGAACUGAAUGUACUUAGUAAAGAAGACAUUGAAAAAGGACUAAUAAAAGAAAUAACAAAAACCAAAAAUUUGAUGAAAUUAAACAAGAUACUAAAAAUUCAUACCUUUGAGGAUUUAAAAUAUGAAUAUUUAAAUUAUAAGUUACAAACUCAAACUAAAAUCAAAUUCUUUGAUUGGUUUGCAUUAACUAAAGAAGAUUGUUCCAAUAAAAGUCUAAAUCCCAUCACUGUUAGAGAUAAGAGACCAGAAUGGAUUGUAAAUGAUAGAACUAUACAAAGUGAUUUUCCACCUAAAACAAUUAGUAAAUUAAAAUAUCAGGAUAAUGAAAUUAUUUGUGCUUCAUAUAAAAUAGCUAGAGAAAAUGAUACAGAUAAAAAACUCAUAGAACAAAAUAAUUUUAGUAAUGCAAGUUUAAUUUGUUUAAAUACACAAUUAAAACGAAAUUGUUCCUAGUUCAUCAAACAACAAAAUAAUUUUAGUAAUGCAAGUUUAAUUUGUUUAAAUACACAAUUAAAACGAAUAGAAAACUUAUUAGAAGAAAAACCAAGUUUAGAUGAUAAAGUAAAAGGGAAAGAAAAGAUAAAGUCUCAUAUUUUUAAACCAUAUCAACUUUCUCAAUCUAGUCAAAAGGAAUUAAAAAAUAAAUUUCUAGGAACACUAAAAGAUCAACUCAGUAGACUCGAAUUACAUUCAGAUUCUACACAACAAGUAGCACCUGAAACCCCUCAAACAUCUAGAAAUAUAAAUAUCAUAGAAGAAAACUCUCAAUCUGAAAUCAGUGAACCUGAAUCAGAAGACAUUAAACAAUUUGAAAUUAACCCCAUAUUACAUAGAGAAAUAGUAAAUAGGGCACCAGAUUUAGGCAUAAUAGAUAAACCAAAUCACAUAUCUCAAUUUAAAUAUAAUGCUACUACAAUUUAUGAAUGGAAUAUAGAUGGACUAUCUGAAUAUAAUAUAUUAAGUAUAUUACAACAAAUGACUAUGGCAGCUAAUGCUUAUAAAACUCAGUCAAUUAUAUCAGAUAGGGCUAUAGCAAAAAUAAUUGUAGUAGGAUUUACAGGCCAAUUAAAAGGUUGGUGGGAUUAUCACCUAACUGACCAAGAGCAUUUGGAGAUAUUAAAUUCCAUUAAAGUAAAUAAUGAAGGAGAACCAAUAUAUGAUGAACAUGGUGAAACUAUUCAAGAUGCAGUGUCAACAUUAAUUCUCACUAUUUCAUUACAUUUUAUAGGAGAUCCAUCCCAUUUAAAAGAUAAAAAUGCAGAAUUAUUAAGCAAUCUAAAAUGUAAAAAACUAAGUGACUUUCAAUAUUAUAAAACUACUUUCCUUACUAGAUUAAUGUUAAGGGAAGAUUCCAAUCAAGCCUUUUGGAAAGAAAAAUUCUUAACCGGAUUACCUUUCUUCUUAGGCGAAAAAGUUAGAAAUUAUAUAAAACAACAAUUUGGNNNNNNNNNNNNNNNNNNNNNNNNNNNNNNNNNNNNNNNNNNNNNNNNNNNNNNNNNNNNNNNNNNNNNNNNNNNNNNNNNNNNNNNNNNNNNNNNNNNNNNNNNNNNNNNNNNNNNNNNNNNNNNNNNNNNNNNNNNNNNNNNNNNNNNNNNNNNNNNNNNNNNNNNNNNNNNNNNNNNNNNNNNNNNNNNNNNNNNNNNNNNNNNNNNNNNNNNNNNNNNNNNNNNNNNNNNNNNNNNNNNNNNNNNNNNNNNNNNNNNNNNNNNNNNNNNNNNNNNNNNNNNNNNNNNNNNNNNNNNNNNNNNNNNNNNUAUAAAAGAAAGCAACCAUAUAAAUCUUCAAAUAAAACUUCCUAUAAAGAUUUAACUUGUUAUAAUUGUGGUAAGAAAGGGCAUACGUCAAAAUUUUAUCGAUUCAAUAAAAAAUUAAAUGCAUUAAAUCUAGAAGAAGAAGUGUUAAAUAAAAUUCAUGAACUGUACCUUGAUUCCGACACCUCAGAAUCAGCAAUACUAGAAAGUGAAAAUCAAAUUGAUGAACUAGGAACAAUAACUAGUUCUUCAGAACAAACCAUAAACAUGCUUACUAAAGAUCAAAGUACACUUUUAGAAGUAGUAAAUAAUAUAACUAAUAAUGAAACCAAAACUCAACUUCUUAAAAAAUUAAUCAAAAGUUUUGAAGAAGAAAAAGAAUCAAAAGAAAUAACUCCUAAACUACAGACUAACACUUAUGAUUUGACUACUAUAUUAAAUAAGACUAAAAAAGUAGAAAUGGAAAUCUCUACUAAAGAUUUACAAAAGGAAAUUAAAACACUAAAGCAUGAAGUCAACGAAUUAAAAGUACAAUCUCAACAAAAUGCUAAGAAAAUAAAGAUAUUAGAAUCUCAAAUCAUCUCUAGUUCUUCUUCCGAAGAAACAGAUGAUGACAUAAAAGAUGAAAUAAA